rnacentral:rRNA from 1 species
AUGAACGCUGGCGGCGUGUCUUAGGCAUGCAAGUCGAACGGUCCGAUGGAUCCCGCAAGGGGCUCAUCGGACAGUGGCAAACGGGUGCGUAACACCCUGGUAACCUACCCCGAGGUUCGGAAUAACUCCGCGAAAGCGGAGCUAAUACCGGAUGUGAUCCUCCGACGAUGGUCGGAUGAGGAAAGCCGAAAGGCGCCACGGGAGGGGCCUAGGUUCCAUCAGCUUGUUGGUGAGGUAAUGGCUCACCAAGGCUUCGACGGAUAGGGGGCGUGAGAGCGCGACCCCCCUCACUGGGACUGCGACACUGCCCAGACUCCUACGGGAGGCUGCAGUCGAGAAUCUUCCCCAAUGGACGAAAGUCUGAGGGAGCGACGCCGCGUGCAGGAAGAAGCCCUUCGGGGUGUAAACUGCUUUUCUAUGGGACGAAUUUUGACGGUACCGUAGGAAUAAGGGGCUGCUAACUCUGU